CCUGGCUCAGGAUGAACGCUGGCGGCGUGCCUAACACAUGCAAGUCGAACGGAGUUAAUAAAGUAGUUUACUACAUUAUUAACUUAGUGGCGGACGGGUGAGUAACGCGUGGAUAACCUACCUUACACAGGGGGAUAACACCGAGAAAUCGGUGCUAAUACCGCAUAAGUAAGUAUGUCGCAUGGCAUAGUUAUGAAAGCUGAGGCGGUGUAAGAUGGGUCCGCGUCUGAUUAGCUAGUUGGUGGGAUAAAAGCUCACCAAGGCAACGAUCAGUAGCCGGCUUGAGAGAGUGAACGGCCACACUGGGACUGAGACACGGCCCAGACUCCUACGGGAGGCAGCAGUGGGGAAUAUUGCACAAUGGGGGAAACCCUGAUGCAGCGACGCCGCGUGAAGGAAGAAGGUCUUCGGAUCGUAAACUUCUAUCAGCAGGGAAGAAGGAAGUGACGGUACCUGACUAAGAAGCCCCGGCUAACUACGUGCCAGCAGCCGCGGUAAUACGUAGGGGGCAAGCGUUAUCCGGAAUCACUGGGUGUAAAGGGUGCGUAGGCGGUAGGGCAAGUCAGAUGUGAAAGCCCGGGGCUCAACUCCGGGAUUGCAUUUGAAACUGUCUUACUAGAGUGCAGGAGAGGGAAGCGGAAUUCCUAGUGUAGCGGUGAAAUGCGUAGAUAUUAGGAAGAACACCAGUGGCGAAGGCGGCUUUCUGGACUGUAACUGACGCUGAGGCACGAAAGCGUGGGGGAGCGAACAGGAUUAGAUACCCUGGUAGUCCACGCCGUAAACGAUGAGUGCUAGGUGUUGGGCCCAUAUGGGUUCAGUGCUGAAGUUAACGCAUUAAGCACUCCACCUGGGGAGUACGA
rnacentral:rRNA from 2 species